AACGAACGUUAGCGGCGCGCUUAACACAUGCAAGUCGAGCGAGAAAGGGUUUCGGCCCCGGUACAGCGGCGCACGGGUGAGUAACACGUAGGUAAUCUACCUCCAGGUGGUGGAUAACCUUCCGAAAGGAGGGCUAAUACAGCAUGAGACCACGCCUCCGAAAGGGGGAGGGGUCAAAGCCGGCCAAUUCAUGAAAGCUGGCGCCAGGAGAUGAGCCUGCGGCCCAUCAGCUAGUUGGAGGGUAACGGCCUACCAAGGCGAAGACGGUAGCUGGUCUGAGAGGAUGAUCAGCCACACUGGAACUGAGACACGGUCCAGACUCCUACGGGAGGCAGCAGUGGGGAAUCUUGCGCAAUGGGCGAAAGCCUGACGCAGCGACGCCGCGUGAGUGAUGAAGGCC
rnacentral:rRNA from 1 species